GAUAGGUAGGUGCGAAGUCUUCUUAAGAGCCCAUACAAGAAAGGACAAAGUUGUCCAGUAUCCUGAUCUUGCUGAAAAACUAGAUGAGCUUUAUAGUAGCAAUCCUGCUUCUAGGAUGACCGGCAUGGAUGAUGCCCUUAUAGAGUUGAUUGGUUCUGACAAUAGAGGGCGAAUGCGGGGUCUAGGUUGCUCAAUAAACAAGGUAAGACUGAAGAAGUCAGCCCCUACUUGUUCAAAGGUAGAGAAUGUGAUAAAAGAAAAAGAAAGC